CGUGCUUCCUCGUCGAACGGU
rnacentral:miRNA from 1 species